GAAUUCGAUUCAGGCCUAACACAUGCAAGUCGAACGGCAGCACAGUAAGAGCUUGCUCUUAUGGGUGGCGAGUGGCGGACGGGUGAGGAAUACAUCGGAAUCUACUCUUUCGUGGGGGAUAGCGUAGGGAAACUUACGCUAAUACCGCAUACGACCUACGGGUGAAAGCGGAGGACCUUCGGGCUUCGCGCGAUUGAAUGAGCCGAUGUCGGAUUAGCUAGUUGGUGGGGUAAAGGCCCACCAAGGCGACGAUCCGUAGCUGGUCUGAGAGGAUGAUCAGCCACACCGGAUUUGAGGCACGGUCCAGACUCCUACGGGAGGCAGCAGUGGGGAAUAUUGGACAAUGGGCGCAAGCCUGAUCCAUCCAAGGCGCGUGGGUGAAGAAGGCCUUCGGG
rnacentral:rRNA from 1 species